rnacentral:rRNA from 1 species
CCUACGGGCGGCAGCAGUGGGGAAUAUUGCACAAUGGGGGAAACCCUGAUGCAGCGACGCCGCGUGAGUGAAGAAGUAUUUCGGUAUGUAAAGCUCUAUCAGCCGGGAAGAAAAUGACGGUACCUGAUUAAGAAGCCCCGGCUAACUACGUGCCAGCAGCCGCGGUAAUCCGUAGGGGGCAAGCCUUAUCCGGAUUUACUGGGUGUAAAGGGAGCGUAGACGGCAGCGCAAGUCUGAAGUGAAAUGCCUGGGCUUAACCCCGGAACUGCUUUGGAAACUGUGCAGCUAGAGUGCAGGAGAGGUAAGCGGAAUUCCUAGUGUAGCGGUGAAAUGCGUAGAUAUUAGGAGGAACACCAGUGGCGAAGGCGGCUUACUGGACUGUAACUGACGUUGAGGCUCGAAAGCGUGGGGAGCAAACAGGAUUAGAUACCCCAGUAGUC